AGGAAGUUCUGAUCACUUUACAGUGUUACAGAAAAGGACAAGUACAAAAAAUGAAAGCUGAGUCUUGAUGAAUGAGUAGGAAUUCACUGGGGGAGAGAGUGAGAUUACUUUGGUGAGAUGGAAAACUUGUGUAACUUUUAAAAGACUAAUUGGUUAUACCUGGAAAUUAAAUUUUUUGGUCACACAUUUACAAACGUACUAUAAUAUUAAAAUCAUGCUGUUUUAGAGGUAAAGUACCAUUUAAAAAUGUCGAGAUAAUAUUGAGAUGGUCCUCUCACUUUAUAGGCAGAAUAUUCUGUAUAUAGUUACUUGUGACAAAUUCUAGGUCAUUCAUUCAGCCUGGAAAGUCUGAACUGUCCCAAAUGGGUAUUUGAAUUGGAAGUCAGUGGCUACAUGGAUGACUUCUACCCCCUUAGGCUGCACUUCCUUGAAGGCCCUGAUAAUAGGUUUGAGCCAGAUUUCUGAAUUCUUCCUCAUUUAAUGGGUUAAGAGUCUAUAUAGUACCAGAAAAAAGAGAUGUAUUCCAAAUUUUUCAAACUAUGUGUUUAAAUGUUUUUUUGUUUUGUUUUGUUUUAAAAAGAGACGGGGCCUUGCCCUGUCACCCAGGCUAGAGUGCAGUGACAUGAACAUGGCUCACUGUAGCCUCACCUUGUGGGCUCAAGCGAUCCUCCCG
rnacentral:lncRNA from 10 species